CCUUACCAGGUCUUGACAUCCAACUAACGAGGCAGAGAUGCGUUAGGUGCCCUUCGGGGAAAGUUGAGACAGGUGGUGCAUGGUUGUCGUCAGCUCGUGUCGUGAGAUGUUGGGUUAAGUCCCGCAACGAGCGCAACCCUUGUGAUUAGUUGCUACGUAAGAGCACUCUAAUCAGACUGCCGUUGACAAAACGGAGGAAGGUGGGGACGACGUCAAAUCAUCAUGCCCUUUAUGACCUGGGCCACACACGUACUACAAUGGCCAUUAACAGAGGGAAGCAAGACCGCGAGGUGGAGCAAAACCCUAAAAAUGGUCCCAGUUCGGAUCGCAGGCUGCAACCCGCCUGCGUGAAGUUGGAAUUGCUAGUAAUCGCGGAU
rnacentral:rRNA from 1 species